CACGUAGGGCGCGAGCGUUGUCCGGAAUUAUUGGGCGUAAAGAGCUCGUAGGCGGCCUGUUGCGUCCGCUGUGAAAGCCCGAGGCUCAACCUCGGGUCUGCAGUCGAUACGGGCAGACUAGAGGCAUGCAGGGGAGAACGGAAUUCCUGGUGUAGCGGUGAAAUGCGCAGAUAUCAGGAGGAACACCGGUGGCGAAGGCGGUUCUCUGGGCAUGUCCUGACGCUGAGGAGCGAAAGUGUGGGGAGCGAACAGG
rnacentral:rRNA from 1 species